rnacentral:rRNA from 1 species
AACAAACGCUGGCGGCGUGCCUAAUACAUGCAAGUCGAACGGGGAAAGCUUUCGGGUGAGUACUAGUGGCGCACGGGUGCGUAACGCGUGGGCAUCUGCCCUUGGGGUCGGAAUAACAGUUAGAAAUGACUGCUAACACCGGAUGGUGUCUUCGGACCAAAGAUUUAUCGCCCAGGGAUGAGCCCGCGUAGGAUUAGGUAGUUGGUGGGGUAAGAGCCUACCAAGCCGACGAUCCUUAGCUGGUCUGAGAGGAUGAUCAGCCACACUGGGACUGAGACACGGCCCAGACUCCUACGGGAGGCAGCAGUGGGGAAUAUUGGACAAUGGGCGAAAGCCUGAUCCAGCAAUGCCGCGUGAGUGAUGAAGGCCUUAGGGUUGUAAAGCUCUUUUACCCGGGAUGAUAAUGACAGUACCGGGAGAAUAAGCUCCGGCUAACUUCGUGCCAGCAGCCGCGGUAAAAC